rnacentral:rRNA from 1 species
UACGUAGGUGGCAAGCGUUGUCCGGAUUUAUUGGGUUUAAAGGGUGCGUAGGCGGUUCUAUAAGUCAGUGGUGAAAUCCGGCAGCUCAACUGUCGAUGUGCCAUUGAUACUGCAGAACUUGAGUAUAGACGAGGUAGGCGGAAUUGACGGUGUAGCGGUGAAAUGCAUAGAUACCAUAAAGAACCCCUAUUGCGAAGGCAGCUUACUAGGCUGUAACUGACGCUGAGGCACGAAAGCGUGGGGAUCAAACAGGA